GAACUAGUAGCUUAAUGGUAGAGUUCGGGUCUCCGGAACCCAAAGUUAUGGGUUCAAAUCCCAUCUAGUUCU
rnacentral:tRNA from 1 species